rnacentral:rRNA from 1 species
UAGGGGGAUUAGUGGCGAACGGGUGAGUAAUAUAUCGGAACGUGCCUUGUAAUGGGGGAUAACUAGUCGAAAGAUUAGCUAAUACCGCAUACGCCCUGAGGGGGAAAGUAGGGGAUCUUCGGACCUUACGUUAUAAGAGCGGCCGAUAUCUGAUUAGCUAGUUGGUGGGGUAAUGGCCUACCAAGGCUUCGAUCAGUAGCUGGUCUGAGAGGACGACCAGCCACACUGGAACUGAGACACGGUCCAG